AAAAGUUCUCAAAAGAAUCAAUAAAAGGGUGGUGGAGGAGGAGAUGCAUACGAGACUCCGAUGACGGGUGGCAAAGGCCCUUCAUAUACAGGUGCAGGUGGUGGAGAUGACGGUGGUGGCGGUGAAUUGUAAUGAUAAACAGGUGUUGGAGGUGGCGGUGAUGGUGGUGGUGGUGAAUUAUAUUGAAUUGGGGGAGGUGGUGGUGAUGGUGAUGGUGGCGGAUGGUAAGGUGCAGAGUGUGGUGAUGGUGGUGGUGGUGAAUGCUCUUCACAAGGUGGUGGAGGUGGUGGCGGAGGAGGUGACUCUAUACAAGGUGGUGGAGAUGGGGGUGGCGGUGGUGGUGAAUAAACUGGUGGGGGAGGAGAGUGAACUGGAGGAGGUGGUGGCGGUGAUAAAUAGGGAUAAACUGGUGGUGGUGGUGGUGGUGAAUGUGGUGGUGGCGGUGGCGAAUGAGGUGGAGGUGGCGGUGGAGAGGCGGCGAAUACACUGGUGGUGGAGGUGGUGGCGAAUACACCGGCGGUGGGGGUGGUGGAGGGGAAUGAGGAAUGUAAACAGGCGACGGCGGAG
rnacentral:lncRNA from 1 species